UCGGAGAAGCGGGUAGCUG
rnacentral:misc_RNA from 1 species